UACGGAGGGGGCAAGCGUUAUUCGGAAUUAUUGGGCGUAAAGGGCGCGUAGGCGGCCAUGCAAGUCAGGGGUGAAAUCCCUCGGCUCAACCGAGGAACUGCCUCUGAAACUGCAUGGCUUGAGGCCGGGAGAGGGUGGUGGAAUUCCUAGUGUAGCGGUGAAAUGCGUAGAUAUUAGGAGGAACACCAGUGGCGAAGGCGACCACCUGGACCGGAUCUGACGCUGAGGCGCGAAAGUGUGGGGAGCAAACAGG
rnacentral:rRNA from 1 species